rnacentral:precursor_RNA from 10 species
UCUAACCCCAUAUACCCGCACACCCCCACCACGACAAGUAGGGUCCUUUUGCGUCACCAUCGCAGGAUGUUCGACUUGUUGUGUUGGUGGUGUUGCAUAGACAUCAUAUAUCAU